rnacentral:rRNA from 1 species
GACGAACGCUGGCGGCGUGCUUAACACAUGCAAGUCGAACGGAAAGGCCCUGCUUGCAGGGUACUCGAGUGGCGAACGGGUGAGUAACACGUGGGUGAUCUGCCCUGCACUUCGGGAUAAGCCUGGGAAACUGGGUCUAAUACCGGAUAGGAGCCAUUUUUAGUGUGAUGGUUGGAAAGUUUUUUCGGUGUAGGAUGAGCUCGCGGCCUAUCAGCUUGUUGGUGGGGUAAUGGCCUACCAAGGCGGCGACGGGUAGCCGGCCUGAGAGGGUGGACGGCCACAUUGGGACUGAGAUACGGCCCAGACUCCUACGGGAGGCAGCAGUGGGGAAUAUUGCACAAUGGGCGCAAGCCUGAUGCAGCGACGCCGCGUGGGGGAUGACGGCCUUCGGGUUGUAAACGCCUUUCGCAAGGGACGAAGCUUUUGUGACGGUACCUGGAGAAGAAGCACCGGCUAACUACGUG